rnacentral:rRNA from 1 species
UACGAAGGGGGCUAGCGUUGCUCGGAAUCACUGGGCGUGAAGGGCGCGUAGGCGGCGUUUUAAGUCGGGGGUGAAAGCCUGUGGCUCAACCACAGAAUGGCCUUCGAUACUGGGACGCUUGAGUAUGGUAGAGGUUGGUGGAACUGCGAGUGUAGAGGUGAAAUUCGUAGAUAUUCGCAAGAACACCGGUGGCGAAGGCGGCCAACUGGACCAUUACUGACGCUGAGGCGCGAAAGCGUGGGGAGCAAACAGG